UGGUCCAGUGGAUAUGCAGUGAUCUACAGAUCUGCAAGUGUAGGUUCGAUCCCCUCUGUC
rnacentral:tRNA from 1 species